UACGGGGGGGAGCAAGCGUUGUUCGGAUUUACUGGGCGUAAAGGGCGCGUAGGCGGCCACCGCAAGUCGACUGUGAAAUCUCCGGGCUUAACCCGGAAAGGUCAGCCGAUACUGCGGGGCUAGAGUGCAGAAGGGGCAACUGGAAUUCUCGGUGUAGCGGUGAAAUGCGUAGAUAUCGUGAGGAACACCUGCGGCGAAGGCGGGUUGCUGGGCUGACACUGACGCUGAUGUGCGAAAGCUAGGGGAGCGAACGGG
rnacentral:rRNA from 1 species